GCAUGCUAGAGGCCAGGGCGCCCCCGUCCGAGGCCACCAUCACUUCGCUCGCCUGCAUCGUCGCUGCAGAUGCCGAGGGCGCCUACGAAGCCUUCAGGCUCCUCUCCUCCAUGGGGCAGAAGUACGGCCUCGCGCUGCGCCUCCGGUCCUACAGCCCCGUGCUUGCCGCGUUCCGGCGCGCCGGGGAGGCUGGCAAGGCAUACGCGGUCGAGGCCCACAUGGCGGCCUCCGUUGCAUCGCCGUAAGAUCCCGAGCUCGCGCCGCUCCUUGUGGUCAGCGCGAAGGCCAGGGACGCAGACAAGGCGUUUGAGUAUAUGCACAAGCUGGGUGCCGAAGCCUGAAGGGAUGCCGAGAAGUGCAUCGAGCUAGAUCCUACAUUCUCCAAGGGAUACAUCAGGAAAGGCACAAACCAGUUUUUCAUGAAAGAGUAUGACAAAGCAAUGGAAACUUAUCAGGAAGGCCUAAAGCAUGACCCGAGUAACCAGGAGCUGCUUGAUGGUGUAAAGAGAUAUAUUCAGCAGAUCAACAAGGCGAACAGAGGCAAACUUUACCCCAGAGGAACUGAAAGAGAGACAGGGCAAAGCUAUGCAGGACCCUGAAAUCCAGAACAUCCUGACGGACCAUGUGAUGCGGCAGGUGUUGAUUGAUUUCCAAGAGAAUCCAAGGGCUGCUCAGGACGUCUCGGGAGCAUGAACGCAACGGCGGUCGGGCUUGGGCAUCAUUGGGUUCAAUGAUUGGAGACGUGGCCGUUCGUCCCCGAUGGAUCUCCACCACCACGGCCUGAGAGAGCCUAGAGAAGGGAGGCUACGGACGAGCACCUGUAGGACGACCUGCCAUCACGGCCAGCGCUUGUCGACUCCGACAACAUCCAUGUGGUCAUAGUCGAAUCCUCCUGUCCUCUCGCGCCGUGUAUAUUCAGACUAAUUUGCGUGCGCCGUAGGUUGUAUGAACAUGGAGGUGCAGUCACCCGAGGUGCAGAAGCUCCAUCACCUACCUCUACCUCCUCCACUACGCUGACAAGACAAAACACUAGCGAUGGUGCAAACAGAAGAUAGGUUUGAAAUAUAACCAAAUUGCAAUGGUCACGUGUUUGGAAGUGUAGGUCGAGGACUCAAGGUGGGAUUGCGAGUGGAAAGAACACUUUGGCCGUGCGUUGUGAGUGGAAAGAAUACCAUGAUGUUGCGAGUGGACUCGAGGAAGUGCACGGGCCAAGAUAAGUGUUAGUUUGGAUGCUAAAGUUAUUGGGAUCUCAAGCAUUGCAAGAACACUCGCCCAGGAAGCUAUCUUCAUCCUUUAAUGUGGAUGUUGUAUUCACAUUUAAACUUCCCACAAUAACGGUGGUGUGCACUGAUAUAACAUGUAAGUUCUCUUUCCUGUCUUUUUUUUGUAUGUUAGUUUGGCUGCUAAACUGAUUUGCAGCUCAGGCAUAUAUAGCCUACUGCCUCAGGAAGCUCAAGAGAUACAUAUCACAGGUUAUCUUAGCAAGCUCUUCAUAAGAAAACUUCCCUGUUCAUAUUCAGAUUUUUUAAAGCUUUUUAAUUAUUUUUAAAAUUGUUGUUCAUGAGGGUGUAGGGGCAGGGCUAUCACACAUUUCUCAUUGUGUUGUGGAGUGGUCUCAUUUUCAUAAUAUAUUGUAAUGCAAUUCUCUAUACUGUUAGAUGUGCUACUGAGAUGUGCAAAUAUGUGGAAACUAAUAUUCCUCUCUUGCAUGAAGGUUGUUCAUUGAAAAAAUGGGCGGUCAUGUCCAUUGUAUUAUGAGGUUCGUAUUCAACAAAUUCUAAGAGGAAGGUAUUAUACCUUCAGCUACUAUCAUAUUUUGUAACAUUUUUUCCUACAUAAGCAUGUUGAAGAUGUUGAAGGCUCACUUCCACAUAAGGUACCACCUUUUGCCCUUGUCAUUCAACAUCAAUGCAUAGAAACUGUGUUAGUAACUUGGCAUGUAUCUUGAAGGGGUCUAUUGUUCGAGGUGUGAAAUAUCAGUCACAUGUGUUCACUCAAACCUUUUUUCCAUCAUAUCAUUUUUCAAAUUAUUAUGGAUAAUAUUUUGUUAUGAGAUCUUUUGGCAUGUUCCACAAUCUUCAUGGAUUAUAAUUAUGCUUUGGGUUUAUGUUUUUAACAUCUUUCAAGCUCAUUGCGUUUUCUGUAGCCAUAAAUGUACCAUACAACAACUACGACAAUUUAAUCAUUUUUGUAUGCAAUGGCAUCCAAUGGCGUCCUUUUAAUAGUAUGAUAUAUAUCAUAUAUACUGAAAUAGAUCGUCAGAUGGAAGGAUAAUCGGAUUGCAGUCAAUACAAUUUUGUGUUGGCUUGUUUCAAAUUGCAAGCCACACUCAUAAUUUUAUGAGCGCCAAAUGUGCCCAUGAAAAAGUAGCUGAGACAAAAUCCUCUCUUAAGCUAACAUGAUUUGCACAAUAAAAGCUAUAGUUUUGAAUUGAGGUACACUUCUCUAAUGCUAGCCAAUUUUUUACAGCUUAAGAGUUGAUUGCCAAAUAUUUCUUUUCUGGCUAUCAACACCAAAAUUUGACCAUAAUUGUUAAGGCUUAUUAUCUGUCAUGUAUGUUAGGAAGAUCUUUGACACUGCUAAAAAGACAAACACAAAUAAAACAUGUACGUGAAGUGGUCCCGUUUUUCUUCUACGGAUUAUAUACACCUUAAACUCUUCCGCUACUAACACUUGUAUAUGUCGGUCCAUGUCAAUUUAACCUACAUAUUUCAUUAAUUCCUACCAUUUUAUUGUCAAAAUGGACGGGCGCAGCAACGCGCGCCUUCAUGAUCUAGUGUCUAUUGAUUAUUACUGGAAUUGGUUCGACAAACUAUUUAUGUGACAAAUUUACAAAUAUACUGACCCAGCCUGAUAAUAUGACUAAUCCAUACAGUGGAUAUGUGCCAAUGCUCAAAUUUGAAAAAUGAAGGAUUCAACUUUUUUUGAAAUAUUAUGGGUGAAGUCGCGAGUAUGCCCAUCAAUCGUAAAAAUAUAUAGUUCGACUUAGUCAUAGGUUUUGUAGUAGUCUUGCCUUGCCGCUGCCUCUCCUCUCUGCUCCUUGCUGCCUGUGGCUGUCCCAUCUCUCUUAGCGAUGUUGCUGCUGCACUUCUUCUGAAGCUCUUCUCAAACCCGUUGUUGCAGUUCUCCUCUGAACUCCAACUUGUUGCCUCUCUCUCUCUCUCUCGCUCUCAAUUUUUCUGUAAUUCUGUGAACCACUCUCUCUCUCUCUCUCUCUCUCUCUCUCUCUCUCAAUUUCUCUGUAAUUCUGUGAACCAUUACUGUGCGAAAAUAUGAUUUGUGGUAUUUGCUUGAGUGAACCUGUAAGGUUUGUACCUUCUGCAAAGUGCUAGCACCUACAUAUUAUCCAACAUUUUCUUCUAAAUGUCAAGAGGCAUGAGCCACAAAUUUUCUCAAGAAUGACCCUUGGUAUAUAUAAGGCAUGCAUUCAAUUUUAAUAAUACUCUUUUGGCUCUCAUUUAUCUGUUGCCAUAGAGCAUCGUAUAAUAUAGAAGAGUCAAUCAAACAUAGCUCUUUGAAUAUCAGACAAAAUAUUGGUUGCCUGAUUUAUUUAUAAGAAGAUUCUUCUAUGUAUUUAGUUACAUGGUUUUAAUUUGAUCGUCUUCUUUCAACUUUUUUUUGCUGACUAUGAUAUUUCCUUAGGUUCACCUUGACCUUCACUGCCCGUGUAAGAGCUUAAGUAAAUUGAUGUUGUAUCAUCAGAAUCUGUAGCCCUGCACAGUUUUUUUUGUCUAUACAUACACUUCAAUUUCUUGCUUGCACUGAAAUCCCUCUUUGUCACAGGAUGAGUCAUAAACUGAAGAUGAUGAUCCCUUGGACACAGAAGAAGCUUCCUCUGUCCUCAUCGCUGCACUGCAGUCUUUCGGCCAAGCUCCGGUGAAUGACGACGAAGAAAAAGAUAUCGUGACAGAGGUAGAUGUCUUCUUGCGUCCUACCCUAAAUGACAGGGGCUCUCCUAUCAGCAAAAUAGCUACUCUGGAGGCGCAGAUGACGAUCGCAAGAGACCGUAUCUUGAGGAUAAGUGAAUGACUAUGAGGUCUACAUGUUAAGUAUAGAAACCUGACGUGGACAAGUGUGCGCUUUGCUGCCACUUCUUUGCCAGCCGGAGUGGCCUGUUUUCAGUGACGAUCAUGGAUCAUGGUGUACAUGCAUGUAUAUGUUGUGUCCUGAUAGACUGUACUACAAGAUUUUCUUGAAUGGUUUGGUACUUCUGUUUUAUUAUGCUAUGAAGAGUGUAUGUGUAUGCUGGUCC